GCCGGGUGUGGUGGUGUGUGCCUGUAGUCCCAGCUACUCAGGAGGCUGAGGCAGGAGAAUUGCUUGAACCCAGGAGGCGGAGUUUACAGUGAGCCAAUCUCAUGCCACUGCACUCCAGCCUGGGUGACAGAGCGAGACCCUGUCUCAA
rfam:Pan troglodytes isolate Yerkes chimp pedigree #C0471 (Clint) chromosome 3, whole genome shotgun sequence.